UGCUGUGCUGUUGCCUCUAGGUGACU
rnacentral:piRNA from 1 species